rnacentral:rRNA from 1 species
UACAGAGGUCCCAAGCGUUGUUCGGAUUCACUGGGCGUAAAGGGUGCGUAGGCGGUUUGAUAAGUCUGAUGUGAAAUCCCACAGCUUAACUGCGGAACUGCAUUGGAAACUAUUUGACUAGAGGAAUGGAGGGGAGACUGGAAUACUUGGUGUAGCAGUGAAAUGCGUAGAUAUCAAGUGGAACACCAGUGGCGAAGGCGAGUCUCUGGACAUUUCCUGACGCUGAGGCACGAAAGCCAGGGGAGCAAACGGG